rnacentral:rRNA from 1 species
CCUACGGGUGGCAGCAGUAGGGAAUCUUCCACAAUGGGCGAAAGCCUGAUGGAGCAAUGCCGCGUGAGUGAAGAAGGUUUUCGGAUCGUAAAACUCUGUUGUUGAAGAAGAACAUGCGUGAGAGUAACUGUUCACGUACUGACGGUAUUCAACCAGAAAGCCACGGCUAACUACGUGCCAGCAGCCGCGGUAAUACGUAGGUGGCAAGCGUUGUCCGGAUUUAUUGGGCGUAAAGAGAAUGUAGGCGGUUUAUUAAGUUU